GGGUUGCUAACUCAAUGGUAGAGUACUCGGCUUUUAACCGACUAGCUCCGGGUUCGAGCCCCGGGCAACCCA
rnacentral:tRNA from 3 species